CGGAUGGCUCAUGUGUAGUCCCAUCCAGUGCCCGCAUUUCGCACAAUCUAUAUCAACAAUGCUACAACCUCUUCACUAACACAUACCUACACAACACAAAACGAACCAGAAAAUCGAUAACAUCAGACAAUCGGAACGACUUACGAAUGAACAACACCAACAGCUGUGACAACAAGAAAAUGUAAAGAACAAAAGUGAAGCGUGUCCCGGCUCCGGACCCAGCGUACCCGCCCUACCCGUGGCGAUCACCUGAUCUCGUCUCUCUUCUUUUUUACAGAUUUUAUUUUAACAUAAUCAAAUGGAACAGACGACCAUACGGCCAAAGGUUUUUGCCAGUCGCCGCAAAAAAAGGAAUGGAAGCAAUUAUGAGGCAAUCGUUGCACCGACUAAGGAACACAAAUACCUUUAAACGGGUAUGCAGCGAUAAUCAGUCGUGCAGCAGUUAGGGAGUCUGCAUAUGAAUCUGCCGUUAUUUGGGGCAGGAAUGGACGAAAUGGAACAGACUCAUUCGGAUGAUGGCCGUUUCUUCUUGAUGAGUGCGCCGAGGCCUAGCCGCACUUAGGACCUCCGGCGUAGACUUUAAUAGCUGUGCGUUCACCAAAUUGCUGAGGUGACUUUCAUAGAGUGUUGUUUUCGUCGGUUUAAUGUUGUACGAUAUUAUGCUUUAUUAUAACCGUGUGUGUGUUUGAAAGUCCCAGGUAUUAUUUGAAUGCUGUCAUUUUUUGCAAUAUGUUUGCUCUUAAUAAAUUUGGCCUCGAAAUUUA